UGGGCGAGGAGGGAAGCACAUGAAGAAAGUUCAACAGGUAGAUCUUCAAUUGUGUUUCUUGAAAUUAAGAUCAACUUUUGUGGUGGAACAACACUUAACCCAUGCCCUCCUAAAGAAAAGGGUUUAUUUUUUACAAAAUCAUUCAGAUUCUUUAAUAAUAAUCUAUAUGUUGGAUGAAAGAAGUAAGAAAAUAUAACCUUUGAAGCAAGCGAUAAACAGGAGGCCAUAGCAAUAACUUUUUCCUUGCUCUUAGAUGUUCCACUUUCUGCAUCAUUUUUAAUUAGAAAUAAAUCAAAUGAGUUUCGAAAAAAACAUUCAUUUAGGGAUUGGAUUAUCCACUUAAAAGCUAAAGCAAUCCCAUUUGGAAUUGAUUGAAGAAAAGCUGUUGCAAUUAGUGGCAUUGAAUGCUUCCCCAGAUUGGCAUAUUCCGAUUCCGAUUCCGGUGGCACAGGGGGCAUGGCUAAAACUUGGGGAUUCCUAUCAUAAAAUCCAACAUCUAAAUCUUAAUUACAAAAUAAAUAAAAGAUGUUGAUCAUUUCAAAAACCAAAAACAGAGUUAGUUAGUUAGUUACAAAAUCAGAAAUGACAUCAAUCAACUUAACUUGCUCCUCCUCUGUGGAAAUUUUGAGCAUCGAUCAAAAACAAAGCAUUGGUUACCUGUAGAUUUUGCUAAAUUGUUUUGUACUAGUUAAAUUUUAGGAGUUUUUUUGAAAUAGAAAGGUAGAUGGUUUAUAGUUGUUUGAUUUGUUUUUUUUUCUUUAAUAAGGCAUUGCAUUGUGAUAUAGACUAGGGAAAAAUUGAAGUGUUUUGUACUAGUUAAAUUUUAGGAGUUGUUUGAUUGUUUUUGUUUAGGAUUGUACCGUACGAUUCCGGCGUUCUACCACCCCGUUGUGUUGUGGGGAGUAGGGUGCUGUCAACUGCCUCUUAAUUCCUUCCUGAUUGCAAAACUCAAUGAAUUCAUUAGACGUGAAUUGAAUUCACCUCCUCGAUCUGUGCGCAACAUCUUUAAUUUGAAUUUCCCUUCACUUUCUACUCUUAGUUCUGAUCAUCGAUACCCACAUCACAUGAACCUGCUGUAGUCAUCUAUCUACCAUGAGAAGGAAAUAUUGAUUUCCUGCUAAGGUUUGGGGGGAUAUAGGACCCCCCCACAUAGAUCAGCAUGAACCAAUUCCACGUAGCCUCCAUCUUGAUUGCCCAUUUUGUACAAGUCAGCAGUGGGCACUGGAACGAUACUCCACCGUUAUCUUUUGUGAGAACCUGUCAUGUUAUCGUAUCUAAUGUAUUUGGGCAUAAACUAGAAAGCUCUGAUACCAAGUGUUGGUUCAGGCCUAGGAUCAAAGAAAGUUUACACCCAAACAGAGUAAGUAACAGAGGUUUCUUUUAUUUCUGAAUACACCUAAACAAAGGAAAGCUACAAUACUUAAAUAGAGGACAAAACAAAGCUGCAAAGCUAAACUGCAACAAAAGUGUGCUCCUAAAGUGGUGGCAACUAAGCCACUUAUUCCUAUCGACAAGAUCAACACGGGACCAAGUCAGAAUUACUUUUCCCACAAACAGUACCUACAUUCAAACAACAAUUUAAGCAUCAGAUUAAAAUUUUAAAAAUUAUUAAACAUACCACACCCAAUUGCUAUUUUUGCUAGGACAUGGACAUGGACACUUAUCUAGAUUAGAUUCUGGAAGGUAGUUUUGUCAAAAACUUGAGAGAUAAUUCCUUGAAAGAUUCAUUCAUUUAUCUCCUUUGAUAUCUCUAUGUAUGUCCUGAAACAACAAAAUCAAAUGUUAAAGAGUCAUAUUAAAUUUUUAAAAAUUAUUAAAUAUACUAUACCCAACUUAGUUGCUACGACAUGAACAUGGACACUUAUCUAGAUUAGAUUCUGGAAAAUAGUUUUCUCAAAACUUGAGAUGAUUUCUUGAAAGAUUCAUUCAUUUAUCUCCUUUGAUAACUCUAUGUAUGUCCUGAAACAAUGAAAUCAAAUCAAAUGUUUCUGAGUGAGUCAGAUUAAAAUUUAAAAAAAUUAUUAAACAUACCCAGCUGCUAGGAAUAACCAACCAACAGAAGAAUUUAAAAGAGACAAAUAAUAAGCAAGAGGACUUUUAACUAAAUAAAGUACAUUAUUACCUGCAAUUUUGCUUUCUCAUGCACAACUUUUCAUAAUUCAAAUCCAUACUUUAACAUCACAAUAAAACUCAAGGAAUAAUCAUACUUACUGUAUAAGAAACACAAUUUUUCAUUUGAAUCCAACGCCAGACCUCCCCUCCUCCUCCUUCUUCUUCUUCCAAGUUUGUACACUGCUACUGCAACAAAAAUAUUGCUAUUAUAGAUAAAGAAGGUAAGUAGUAUAUAUGAUGCCUGGUAAAAAGAGUAACGUAUGUUGGUAUUAUACAUACCAGAAGAGAUGAUAAAACAUCAUUAUAGCGUUUGAAUGAUGGCUGUAAAUUUUGAUACUCUCUGGUUUGGGUUGGUGGGAUAGGGUUUGAACUUGAUUCAUUAGAAAUGGUGGAUUCGGAAGGUAGUUUUGUCAGAUGAUUUUUUGAAAGAUUGAUUCAUUUAUCUCCUUUGAUAACCCUAUCUCUAUGUAUGUCCUGAAACAAUGUAAUCAAAUGUUUUUGAGUCACAUUAAUAUUUUAAAAAAUUAUUAAACAUACCACACCCAGUUGUUAUUUAUUGCUAGGACAUGGGCCAUUUUUUGCAGUUUUGUUUUUAAUCUACUUGAUCAGUAAGGUGAAGAUUUGGAUUUGGAUGGAAAAGUAGUAAAAUGAAUAGGAACAGUGUUCUUUCCAAACCUGCAAUGCAAUAUUAGUUUGGUGUGGUGUGGUGCAACCACAGACACCAUUUAGUAGAGCUUCAAACCCAUCUGAUGGAAUCUACAAAUGAAGGAGAAUGAGAUAACAUACGAAAAAUGACAAAUAUUAUCCCUUUAAAAAGUCUAAUUUACCAUUACUAUCCAGUUUUAAACACACACACACACUAGAUGUUGAAGUGACUUCAAGAUUACACUUGUUCCUUGAUCAAAAUCAAAAUCAAAGUCUGCAAGAACAAUAAUCCUUUAAUAAUUAAUUACCACUGAUACUUUUCAUAUUUGGAUUAAAAAGUGGGCGAGGAGGGAAGCACAUGAAGAAAGUUCAACAGGUAGAUCUUCAAUUGUGUUUCUUGAAAUUAAGAUCAACUUUUGUGGUGGAACAACACUUAACCCAUGCCCUCCUAAAGAAAAGGGUUUAUUUUUUUCAAAAUUAUAUUACUAAUAGCCAUGCACAUAAGCUGUUAUGUCCAGAAACUUGGUAUUUCUAAAGUCAAAAAUCAAAAUUUUCGGUUGUAGUAAAAAACUGAAUCCAAUAAGUGCAAAUGAUCUAUCUCUAAGUAGCAAAGAGUAAAUGAACUUUUUGACCUAAAAUCACAUAAAAGGAAAUUAAAAGUCAUUUCCUCAAUUUGAUAUUUGGACUAAAGAUUAUUGUUGAAAGUACCUUUCUAUUUAGAAGUGAUGUCAACUAACAAAUAACAAAAAAAGAAAAAGGGCUGAAAAUUCCUUUAGCAUAAUCACUUUUCUUCCCAUAUAACUAUAGCAUAAAGAAACUAAAUGAGAGUGAAAACCCAUGGUUUGCUCAAAAAUACACCAAAUGGUACAGUCAAAUCUUAACAUGCUGAUAUAGAUACAAUAUCCAAGAUAUCAACUAUUUUUUAUUAUGAAAUAGUUGAUCUUUCUUUUCUUCCAGGAUGAGUAAGCUAACCAAGUUUAUGAUUUAACCCAAACAAAAUGCAGGAAAGCUAGGAAUCACAAAAACACACACACACACACGUGGUAAGUAGCACAAAAUUACAGACAAUAGUCUGUAAUAGCAUUUGAUAAGAACAAAUAUCUCAUGGGCAUUUUAUCAAUCACAUAGAGUGCAACAUCAAAUGCAAGGUUAAGAAGGCAAUCAGAUACAACACACAUUCAUGAUAAUAAAAAAUCGAAUACAAUUAAUAAAAAUUAAGAACAUCAGAUUAAAGAAGAAACCUAGAUGACGAAUGAAUUGAAGAAGAAAACCAAGGUGUGAAUAAUAGCCAGAACAGUAAUCGAAUUUAUAGAGUGAUUUCAAUAUGGAAUUCAUUUUGUUCCACAAAAAUUGGGAUCUCACGUAUCAACAGAGAUUAACGACUCGAAAAUAGAGCCUAUAUAUGGGAACUCUAUCAAUUUACUUCAUUAAAAAUUCAAAUUCAAAUUGAGGAGAUGAUUUACGGGAGAGUUAAUAUGAAAGCAAUUCUCCUGUUUACUAAAUUGAAGAAAAAAUGUUGUGAGAGUAAAAUGGAUACAGAAAGUAUGUUGUAUGGGAUGUGAAUUUGGAAUGCAACAAUGGUCUGAGGAAAAUAAGGCAAUUGAUUUGAGAAAACACGUUAUAGAUUCAAUUGGUUGCUGAUAUGUGGGACCUCAAAUAAAGCCCAUAUUAC
rnacentral:lncRNA from 1 species